rnacentral:lncRNA from 1 species
UUUUUUUUCUUUUUUCUUUUUUUUUUUUGAGAGAUAGGUAGCACUCUACCUGUUUCGUUUAUUUCAUUUAGAAAUAAACUUAGCUGGAAAUGUGAAUCAAGUAGGAUUCAAACUUGGGUCUCGGAUACCAACUACCAAGGCCUUUGCCACUUGCUCUAGAGACGGUUGGUAUGAACCCUCCAUUACUGUUAAAAUAUAUAU